UACGGGGGGGGCAAGCGUUGUUCGGAAUUACUGGGCGUAAAGGGCUCGUAGGCGGCCAACUAAGUCGGAUGUGAAAUCCCCAGGCUUAACCUGGGAACUGCAUCCGAUACUGGAUGGCUUGAAUCCGGGAGAGGGAUGCAGAAUUCCAGGUGUAGCGGUGAAAUGCGUAGAUAUCUGGAGGAAAACCGGUGGCGAAGGCGGAAUCCUGGACCGGCAUUGACGCUGAGUGAGCGAAAGCCAGGGGAGCAAACGGG
rnacentral:rRNA from 1 species